rnacentral:rRNA from 1 species
CCAGACUCCUACGGGAGGCAGCAGUGGGGAAUAUUGGACAAUGGGCGCAAGCCUGAUCCAGCCAUGCCGCGUGAGUGAUGACGGCCUUAGGGUUGUAAAGCUCUUUCGCUCGGGACGAUAAUGACGGUACCGAGAUAAGAAGCCCCGGCUAACUUCGUGCCAGCAGCCGCGGUAAUACGAAGGGGGCUAGCGUUGUUCGGAAUUACUGGGCGUAAAGCGCGUGUAGGCGGGUCUUUAAGUCAGGGGUGAAAUGCCAGGGCUCAACCUUGGAACUGCCCUUGAUACUGGAGAUCUUGAGUCCGAGAGAGGUGAGUGGAAUUGCGAGUGUAGAGGUGAAAUUCGUAGAUAUUCGCAAGAACACCAGUGGCGAAGGCGGCUCACUGGCUCGGAACUGACGCUGAGACGCGAAAGCGUGGGGAGCAAACAGGAUUAGAUACCCUGGUAGUCCACGCUGUAAACGAUGGAUGCUAGCCGUUGGGGAGCUUGCUCUUCAGUGGCGCAGCUAACGCUUUAAGCAUCCCGCCUGGGGAGUACGGUCGCAAGA